rnacentral:lncRNA from 1 species
CAGCAUCCGUGCGCCUGUGACUUAGCGCUUCCCAGCCCAGAGCUCGGGGCUGGCGUGGGGGGAGGCCGGGCGAACACACCCUUCCCGCGCCUGGGCUGGGGCACUCAAUGCCCGCGUGUGGUAGGUAGCGAGCCGGCUAAGCGGCGGCGGCAGCAGCCUCCAUCCCUCCCCAGAACACGCUGCCCCGGCGGCUUGCGCAACCAAUGCCGCCCUAGCCUGCGCUGGUCUCCCUCCCCUGCAGCCGCCCUGGCCACAGCGGGUUUCCAGAGGCUGCCGCUCUCCCUUUCCUGCCUAAAGAUACAGCUGAUAAGUGCGCGGGCAGCGCGAGCAGGUAAAGGUUUGCACGAGCACAAACACCGGCUGAGGCUGCAAGGGGCUGUCUCUGCUCCGGGCGGACACUGCCUGGGGCUUGGAGCUGAGCCGGACAGCAAACCGCCGCUGCAACCUUUGGCUCCCUCGCAGGCUGGGGUCCAGGAGCUGCCCGCAGUGCUCGGCCGCUUGCGCUGGUUUCCGUUUUGCUGUUGCAGGAGCCUGCAGAGGGCUGCUAGACGGCAGCCAAGGGGCCCCUGUGAUCUGCCGCUAGACCAGCCUUGGCGCGCCGGGCAUGUCCGCUGCCCGGCCUCCCGCGCUGCAGGGGCUCGCCUCGUUUGCAUGCCUGGUGCCCGGGGCAGGGUGGCGCGCCCAGGUCCCCGUCUCUCUGCCUGCUCGGCUCGGACCGCCGCAGCACUGGGGGAGAGAGAAUCUCCUUGCCUAUAAGUGGUUCAAGAUAAUUCCUCGAUAUUUCCAUGAACCAUACUAAAGGAGGUGUGCUGUGUUUUGAAGUUCUCUCAAUGUUUCCAGCCUAGAUUCUAGAACCAUGGAUUACUGGAAGGCUCCUGAGUGAGCUUGAAAUUUCUUAACAAGACCAAAAAAGAUCUGGAGCAAUGUCAGUUAAAAACAUCUAGUAGUGCCCCUCCUUAAAGAUCCCUUGAACUUUUUAGUAUUUCCAAUUGAAAUCCAGUUCUGGAUUCUUAUCACCUACAAAGUUUAGGGUUUGGUUUUGGCCCAUCUCUACUCAAAACUCUAUAGAGUUGCACACACAAUAAAAAUCGGGGUGAAAUGGUGACCCCAUCGAACUCACUGGCAAAGAUCUCUGGAUUUGACCCAUGUAGUACUCCACCUGGCCACCAAUAAAAUGCAACCAUUUGCGGGGGGUGGCCACCAUUAAAAUGCAAUCAUUGGAGGUCGGGGGUAACAACUCUCCUGUAUUUAAAUGGCUCUGAAACACUCAUCACCUACAUCUGGAAGCUAAUCAAGAUAUACUGUCCAGCUCACAACCUAAGAGGGGGAGGGUUGGGAGACAGAGGAUAUGUACAAAUGAACUGAAGUCAAAUAGAGGAAGAAACAACAAAUUGUGCACCAAAAAAAAUUGAGAACUCUUUAGAGGGAGGAAAAUAGCAAAUAUUGAAAGAAUAUAUUUGUACUGCAAACGUAGUCUAGCGACACAUAGACUGAAGAAAAGAGGCCUAGGGUACGUCUACACUACGAGAUUAAUUUGAAUUUAGAUAAUUCGAAUUUGGGAAACAGAUUGUAUAAAUUCGAUUGUGCGCGGCCACACUAAGCACAUUAAUUCGGUUUUUAACCACAUUAAUUCGGUGGUGUGCGGCCACACUACCCCAUUAAUUUUAACCACAUUAAUUCGGUGGUGUGCGGCCACACUACCCCUAAUUCGAAUUUACAAAAUCGAUUUUGGUGCUACUCCGCUCGUCGGGGUGGAGUACAGAAAUCGAUUUUAAGCGCCCUUUAAUUCGAAGUAACUGGCUCCGUUGUGUGGACGGGUUAAGGAUUAAUUCGGAUUAACGCAGCUAAAUCCGAAUUAAAGUCGUAGUGUAGACCAGGCCCUAGAUACUACUGUGAUAAGCACAUUACAAUGGAAUAGAUGGGAGAGGCUUCAUAUUCUUUUAGAUGGCAAAAAGGAGAAUAGGGAAAGAAGGACAAAAUCAAGAGUGCUACAGUAAGUUAGCCUUCAAUGUGAAUAUUGACAAUCUUUGAUUUCCCCGAAGGUUGUUUGACUGUUCCUAAUUUAAAAAAAAAAAUGGAAUAUUUCCUUUGUUUUGGACUUUGCUAUGCUUUGAGGAGUUGAUAUCCCCUCCCCAGACCAGAUUCCAUUGGAAGCUAUAGAUCAGCUCCACAUUCUUGGAGCGUUGACAGGUGUAAUUGUGAAUGGAACAUCUGUUGAGCAAUCUGAGAUUUGCUUUCUCUAAUCUAAAUUACUUUCUAGAUCAGUGGAAACUGUAUUAUGAAUAGUCGUCAUACUGGCUUUGCAUGCUUUAUGACUUCAAUGCAGGAGUAAAUAAUAGUUCAGGGACUGUCAUUGUCAACACACUGCAACCCAUGUAGAAAUACAUUCUCAAUCUGGCAAGAAUCUACCAGUUAUAUUUACAGUUAUCAUGCAACUCCUAUGAGUUAUGGGAGUCACAUGCCCAGGGCCAGGCACCUCUAAUGGCAGCUGAGAAACUAUUUAAAAGCUGCCAAAGCAGCAGUCAGCUAAGGUCUGGGUGUGUUUGCGGGGCCAGACAGAAGGAAAUUCUGUGUGGAUUUUGAGGGAUGCAGUGUAGUUUAACUGCUACUCCUGUAGUGGCUCUGGAUUACAAAAAUCUAGCUGCACUGUUUGAUGUUAUGUUGUUGCACUCUUCUGUAACUCAAAUGGCUAAACAAAAAAAAUUCACCUUUGGGUUAUAACCAAGCAUGGAAAAUUUCAGCCCAAAACCAGGGGUUGGAUGCUAUUUAAAAUGGGAGCCUGAACAUGACUAUUUAGCUUUGUCUGUUGAAAGACCUAUAAUAAGUCUCUGUGACAUAGCAAUAGCAUUCCCCCUGGUAAAUGUGAAUAGGGAAAUAAAUGCCACGAUUUAGUGUUAAGUAACUGGGGCCUUAUCAAACUCCCACUAAAGGCAGUAGGAGUUGGAUUGGGCUCUUAGACCUUCUGUACAUUUGCAUUUUUCUUAGUUAAAAAAAAAAAGCUCCCACAACUGUGAGUGCGCUAGUGUAAACAGGCUUUGGUGGCCACUGGCAUUCUUACCUCUGAGCAUAGUUGGACAGCAUUGUGGUUAAAACACCAGUACCUUACCAGAGUGGUAAGCUUAAAUGAAGCAACUAAGUGGUACGCACUGCUGAAGCUACAAUGGUGGCAAAUUUCCAAAAAUCUAGUUUAGAUGCAGCCUUAGCUUCAC